AUGGCUCACUUCUUCUGGGGUGACCAGGGAGAUGAGCACAAAUAUCAUCUUGCUAAAUGGGGAAUGAUUGCUCAGAAAAAAGAGUUUGGAGGUCUGGGGAUUCCCAACUUAAGAGAGUUCAACAUGGCCUUGCUAGCCUCUUGGGCAAAAAGAUACUUCAUAAACCAUGAUAAUGAUUGGGGGAGACUAAUUGAUUAUAAAUAUAGAACUGAUAAACCCAAUUUACUUUGGGCCAAACAGGGUGUAGGGUCGCCCUUUUGGAAAGGGGUUACCUGGGCUUUUGAGGGUAUUAGACCUUUUUUCAGAUGGAACUUGGGAAAAGGGGACAAAAUCAGUUUCUGGGACGACACUUGGGCUGGGGAUUCUUCCCUGAAAACUCAAUUUUGGGAGGUAUAUGAAAUUUGUCAGCAACAGAAAUGUGUAGUAGCUGAGGUGUGGGAUGGUACUAAUUUGAAACUCACGUUCAGUAGAUGUGUGGAUUCUGGCUUUAUGAGUAAAUGGCAUGACCUGAUUCAGGUAAUCUCUACUAAGACCUUAACUGAUGAGGAGGACCAGCCUGUCUGGCUUUUGGAACCAUCUGGGAAUUAUUCUGUUAAAUCCUUCUACAACAUGAUAAACUGGGGAGGGGUGUCUACCCCAAUUUGGAAAAACUUCUGGAAAAUUGUUGUUCCCAACAGAUACUUGGUCUUUUUGUGGUUAACAAAUAAUAACAAAAUUCUUACCAGAGACAAUUUAAGCAAAAGAAGGGUGGUUGAUAACUUGUGUUGUUUGUUUUGUAAUGAGAAUGAAACUGUUCAGCAUUUAUUCUUUGAUUGUGUAGUGUCUAAGCAAAUUUGGCUUGAUGUAGCUGAUACUUUUAGUAUUAAUAUCCCAAAAGAUAUGGCUGAACUAUCUUCCUUUUGGAAACUGAACAGCAAAACAUCUGUGAUUAAAAUUGCUUGUGUUGCCUCCAUCUGGGGGAUUUGGACUAUGCGUAACGACAUGUGUUUUCAGGGGAUAUCAUGGACAAGUACCCGGGCGGUGUUGGGACGGAUCAGCUCAUCUCUACACCAAUGGAAGAUCCUAUGCAAAGGCGACCAAUCGGUGCUGCUCCAACGCUGCCUCCUACUCCUGGACCGACGAAGAGGCGAGCUACUCAGGAUCGCCUGGGCUGGGGGCUGA
rnacentral:rRNA from 1 species